AUCAACUUUCGAUGGUAGGAUAGAGGCCUACCAUGGUGGUAACGGGUAACGGGGUGUUAGGGCACGACACCGGAGAGGGAGCCUGAGAAACGGCUACCACAUCCAAGGAUGGCAGCAGGCGCGCAAAUUACCCAAUCCCGACACGGGGAGGUAGUGACAAUAAAUAACAAUACGGGGUUCUUUCGGAUUUCGUAAUUGGAAUGAGUACAAUUUAAAUCUCUUAACGAGGAACAAUUGGAGGGCAAGUCUGGUGCCAGCAGCCGCGGUAAUUCCAGCUCCAAUAGCGUAUAUUAAAGUUGCUGCAGUUAAAAAGCUCGUAGUUGAAUUUCGGGACCAAUAUGUCGGUCGUGCCUCGGUACGUACUGGCAUCGUUGGUUUCUCCCUUCUGACGAAUCAUGAUGUCAUUUAUUUGGUGUCGUGGGGAAUCAGGACUGUUACUUUGAAAAAAUUAGAGUGUUUAAAGCAGGCUCACGCUUGAAUACAUUAGCAUGGAAUAAUGAAAUAGGACGUUUGAUUCUAUUUUGUUGGUUUCUAGGAUCGACGUAAUGAUUAAUAGGGAUAGUUGGGGGCAUUAGUAUUCAAUUGUCAGAGGUGAAAUUCUUGGAUUUAUUGAAGACUAACUACUGCGAAAGCAUCUGCCAAGGAUGUUUUCAUUAAUCAAGAACNCAAGUUAGGGGAUCGAAGACGAUCAGAUACCGUCUUACUCCUAANCAUAAACUAUGCCGACUAGGGAUCNGAUGAUGUCAUNUUUUAAUGACUCUUCNGCGUCUUACGGGAUAUCAAGUGUCUGGCUUC
rnacentral:rRNA from 1 species